rnacentral:rRNA from 1 species
CCCUUAGAUGUUCUGGGCCGCACGCGCGCUACACUGACACGUUCAUCAAGUCUAUAACCUUGACCGAGAGGUCUGGGUAAUCUUUUAAAAACGCGUCGUGCUGGGGAUAGAUUAUUGCAAUUAUUAAUCUUCAACGAGGAAUUCCUAGUAAACGCAAGUCAUCAACUUGCAUUGAUUACGUCCCUGCCCUUUGUACACACCGCCCGUCGCUACUACCGAUUGAAUGAUUUAGUGAGUACCAGGGACCGAGCGCUUUGGUUGGGUUUCCUUCCCUAGCGCUUGGGAACUGUCGCAAACUUGACCAUUUAGAGGAAGUAAAAGUCGUAACA